rnacentral:RNase_P_RNA from 1 species
UAAGAUGUUUAGGCGAUUACUCGUUUAUGAACUCAUAAGCGGGAGGAAAGUCCGGGCACUGCAGAGCAGCGGAGUCUCGACGGCCUGCCGUACGAGACCGAGGGCGACCUUAGGGAAAGUGCAACAGAAAACACACCGCCGAUGAUCCGGCUUCGGCUGGAAACAGGUAAGGUUGAAAACGUGCGGUAAGAGCGCACGACGGCUGCGGCGACGUAGUUCGUUGGAAAACCCUCCGUAGUGCAAGUUUGCUGGACCGCAUCUGAGCCAAUGACGACGGAGAGAGCGAAUAGCUUAACCCAUCGCCAAGGCUCGCUCGGCGUAGCUCAGACGGUGCAAACGCAUAGAUAGAUUAUCGCCUCUCCGGCUUGCCGGAUAGACAGAACUCGGCUUAUCGAACAUCUUAAAGC